rnacentral:rRNA from 1 species
GCUUACCUGAGUACUACGAACAUUGAAGUUUAAAACUCAAAGGGCUUGGCGGUGCCUUAAACUUUUUAGGGGAACCUGUUCCAUAAUCGAUAGUCCACGUUAGACCUUUCCUUCUCUUGUAAAAUUCAGUAUGUAUACCGUCGUCGUCAGGUAACUUUUAAAAAUAUAAAAGUUAGCAGCCAAAGAUAUAAUCUUAAACGUCAGAUCAAGGUGCAGCUUAUGGGGCGGAGAGAAUGGGUUACAAUUAAGAAUCAUAAUUACGAAUAUAAAAUUGAAAUGGUUUACUGAAGGAGGACUUAAUAGUAAAAAGCUUAUACAGAGCUUUUGAAUAGGGCUCUAAGGCGUGCACACAUCGCCCGUCACUCUCA